rnacentral:lncRNA from 1 species
AAAAACAUUAUAGCGUCUGCAGCGUAAAAACAAAGAUUCUUAUCAAAUAGUAACGAGAAGAUGAAACAAAGGAAAAAUCUACUGAAUUCCACGGUAAAAAGAUUGUCAUAUAGAUGACAAAACGGCAGACAUGGAAAAUUAAUGGGCUUUUGAAAGUUUAUAUAAACUAGUAAAUUUAAAUAUCGUUUAUCUUUAUUUAUUAGUAACUCAUAAUAAUUGCAUUACAUAUAUAAUAUAAUAUGACCG